CUAUACAUGCAGUCGAGCGAACGGACGAGAAGCUUGCUUCUCUGAUGUUAGCGGCGGACGGGUGAGUAACACGUGGAUAACCUACCUAUAAGACUGGGAUAACUUCGGGAAACCGGAGCUAAUACCGGAUAAUAUUUUGAACCGCAUGGUUCAAAAGUGAAAGACGGUCUUGCUGUCACUUAUAGAUGGAUCCGCGCUGCAUUAGCUAGUUGGUAAGGUAACGGCUUACCAAGGCAACGAUGCAUAGCCGACCUGAGAGGGUGAUCGGCCACACUGGAACUGAGACACGGUCCAGACUCCUACGGGAGGCAGCAGUAGGGAAUCUUCCGCAAUGGGCGAAAGCCUGACGGAGCAACGCCGCGUGAGUGAUGAAGGUCUUCGGAUCGUAAAACUCUGUUAUUAGGGAAGAACAUAUGUGUAAGUAACUGUGCACAUCUUGACGGUACCUAAUCAGAAAGCCACGGCUAACUACGUGCCAGCAGCCGCGGUAAUACGUAGGUGGCAAGCGUUAUCCGGAAUUAUUGGGCGUAAAGCGCGCGUAGGCGGUUUUUUAAGUCUGAUGUGAAAGCCCACGGCUCAACCGUGGAGGGUCAUUGGAAACUGGAAAACUUGAGUGCAGAAGAGGAAAGUGGAAUUCCAUGUGUAGCGGUGAAAUGCGCAGAGAUAUGGAGGAACACCAGUGGCGAAGGCGACUUUCUGGUCUGUAACUGACGCUGAUGUGCGAAAGCGUGGGGAUCAAACAGGAUUAGAUACCCUGGUAGUCCACGCCGUAAACGAUGAGUGCUAAGUGUUAGGGGGUUUCCGCCCCUUAGUGCUGCAGCUAACGCAUUAAGCACUCCGCCUGGGGAGUACGACCGCAAGGUUGAAACUCAAAGGAAUUGACGGGGACCCGCACAAGCGGUGGAGCAUGUGGUUUAAUUCGAAGCAACGCGAAGAACCUUACCAAAUCUUGACAUCCUUUGACAACUCUGGAGAUAGAGCUUUCCCCUUCGGGGGACAAGUGACAGGUGGUGCAUGGUUGUCGUCAGCUCGUGUCGUGAGAUGUUGGGUUAAGUCCCGCACGAGCGCACCCUUAAGCUUAGUUGCCAUCAUUAAGUUGGGCACUCUAUUUGACUGCCGUGACAACCCGAGAAAGGUGGGGAUGACGUCAAUCAUCUGCCCCUUAUGAUUGGGCUA
rnacentral:rRNA from 1 species